GCCAAAUAGACUCCCUCCUGUUCUUAAGAACCUAUUAAAUUUGAGGUAUACCUGGACCUCACUCAUUCCUCUCCCUUCCCAUCCUCCUGAAUCUUAUGUUUGGCCUAAAGAAAGAAUCAUGGUAAAACAUCCAAAACCCUCAAGACUGGCCGAGGGAACACAGGAAGAUUGCUGAAUUCCUGGUGAUAUUAUGGUUCCUGAGUCUUCUGCCGUGCUUCUUUGCUCCAAUUGGUAUCAUCCCAAUAUAUGUGUAUUCACUUGCGCUUUAUGGGUUUAUGCACUUCUUUCUUAUCAACCCCCCAAAAAACUUUCUACUAUAAAUCCAGAUUUUGGUUGUUUAAACUUCUGAACCAGAAUUUUGCAGCAGAAAUACAUACAGAGUGCGAGCCACUGUUCAGUGCAUUCCUGCUUGGCUUCGCUUCAUCCAGUGCCUGUGCUGGUACCGUGACACAAGAAGAGCCUUUCCUCUUCCAGUAAAUGCUGCCUGGCAAAUACUCUACAACUUUCUUCACCCUGACAUUUCCAGCCCUUUACAACACUCACAAAGGUAGGCUGAGUUCUCCCAUCUGAGCCCUUACUACUGCAUUCUGUUGCCCUGGACUCUGCCAUCACUGCUGCUGGUUGUGCUGAGGCUUCAGAACCCGGAUAUCUAACUUUAGCCUUGAAUAUAGUUUUAAUCUCAUUUCAAUUAACAGUUAUUAUCACUAAGAUUUUCAGUCAAUUGGUAAGAAUUGUGAUGCUGUUUCAAUCCUGUCUGUUGCUCAGUGGCUUUAACCUAUGGGUGCCUUGGGUUUUAAUUUA